rnacentral:rRNA from 1 species
GGUACCCGUACCGCAAACGGACACACGUAGUCGGGUUGAAUAUACUAAGGCGCUUGAGUGAUUCACGGUUAAGGAACUAGGCAAACUGACCCUGUAACUUCGGGAUAAAGGGUCCCUACCCUUUUAUGGGAGGGCGCAGAGAAUCGGUCCAGGCAACUGUUUAACAAAAACACAGGGCUGUGCAAAAUAGAAAUAUGAAGUAUACAGCCUGACACCUGCCCGGUGCUGGAAGGUUAAGAGGAGAUGUCAUCGCAAGAGAAGCAUUGAAUUGAAGCCCCAGUAAACGGCGGCCGUAACUAUAACGGUCCUAAGGUAGCGAAAUUCCUUGUCAGGUAAGUUCUGACCCGCACGAAUGGCGUAAUGAUUUGGGCACUGUCUCAACAGCCCGCCCGGCGAAAUUGUAGUACCGGUGAAGAUGCCGGUUACCCGCGACAAGACGGAAAGACCCCAUGGAGCUUUACUGCAGCCUAAUAUUGGGUUUCGGUAUUACAUGUACAGGAUAUGUGGGAGACUAGGAAGCAGAGGCGUCAGCUUCUGUGGAGUCAGCCUUGGGAUACCACACUUGUGAUGCUGGAAUUCUAACCUGCGGCCUUGAAUCAGGUCGGGGGACAUUGUUAGGCGGGCAGUUUGACUGGGGCGGUCGCCUCCUAAAAAGUAGCGGAGGCGUUCAAAGGUUGGCUCAGCAUGGACGGAAACCAUGCCAUAGAGUGCAAACGCGUAAGCCAGCCUAACUGCGAGACUGACGGGUCGAGCAGUAACGAAAGUUGGAGUUAGUGAUCCGGUGGUAUGUGAGUGGAAAUGCCAUCGCUCAACGGAUAAAAGUUACCCUGGGGAUAACAGGCUGAUCUCCCCCAAGAGUCCACAUCGACGGGGAGGUUUGGCACCUCGAUGUCGGCUCAUCGCAUCCUGGGGCUGAAGUAGGUCCCAAGGGUUGGGCUGUUCGCCCAUUAAAGCGGUACGCGAGCUGGGUUCAGAACGUCGUGAGACAGUUCGGUCCCUAUCUGUCGUGGGCGCAGGAUAUUUGAUGGGAUCUGUCCCUAGUACGAGAGGACCGGGAUGGACGCACCUCUGGUGCACCAGUUGUCACGCCAGUGGCACAGCUGGGCAGCUAUGUGCGGAUCGGAUAAACGCUGAAAGCAUCUAAGCGUGAAGCCGGCCCAAAGAUAAGAUAUCCCACUGAGUCAAUCAGGUAAGACCCCUUGAAGACUACAAGGUUGAUAGGCACAAAGUGUAAGCACGGUGACGUGUUCAGCUAGCGUGUACUAAUCGGUCGAGGGCUUGACCA